rnacentral:rRNA from 1 species
AAAGCCGGGGACCGCAAGGCCUGGCUCUUGGAGAGGACCCCGCGCCUGAUUAGCUUGGGGGUGGGGUAGCGGCCUACCAGGGCUCCCAUCGGUAUGUGGUCUGAGAGGAUGAUCCCCCACUGUGGGUGUGACACACGGGCCACACUCCUACGGGAGGCAGCAGGGGGAAAUUUUGGGCAGGGGGAAAAAGCCUGACCCCGCAACCUCGCGUGAAGGAGGAAAUCCCUCGGGAUGUAAACUUGUGGGGAGGGAAAAAAAAGCUUUUGACCUAAUACGUUGAAGAGCUGACGACCUCUUUCGUAAGCCACGGCUAACUACGUGCCAGCAGCCGCGGUAAUA